CUAAAGCCCACCGGCCCACCAGGUUCAUACCUGUAAUCACAUAAGAUAGGAAGACGCCAAGCGCCAGAAGGAGCAGCCGCACGAAGCUAUUCCUGAGGAAAGCCCAAGGCUUGGGGGCUAAAUUCCAAGCGGUAGCCUUGGACGGACCUGUGUCCCAACUC
rnacentral:lncRNA from 1 species